AUGUUAAACUUGAUAAGGAGGCAUACAAACUGCGUGAAGCCAGCUCUAAAGGACCAGAAUAAGAAGGAUAGGAUGAAAUUUUGUUUGUCGAUGCUUGAUGAGGCAACAACAGCAACACCAAGGCCUAAGUUCAAUACUAUGCAUAAUGUUGUCCAUAUUGACGAGAAGUGGUUCAACAUCACCAAGAAGAAUAGAACCUAUUAUCUGCUGGACGGGGAGGAAGAGCCUACAAGGCCUAUACAUGGCAACUGUAUUGGAAAGGUGAUGUUCUUGACGGCCGUUGCUAGGCCGAGGUGGGACAGUGAAGGAAACGUGACCUUCUCUGGGAAAAUCGGUAUCUGGCCAUUCGUGAAAGAAGUUCCUGCUCAAAGGAGAAGCGACAACAGGCCCAAAGGUACAAUAGAGACAAAAUCAAUAAAGGUCGACAGAAAAGUGAUGAGGGAGUUCCUGAUAGAGAAGGUCUUGCCAGCAAUACAAGCUGUUUGGCCUGAAGGCGAUGCUGGACAAACCAUCUACAUUCAGCAGGAUAAUGCUAAGCCCCAUAUCUUGCCAGAUGAUCAGGAAUUUCUAGAAGCUGUCGCAAAAACUGGACUUGACAUCAGAAUAAUACAACAGCCUCCCAACAGUCCUGAUUUGAAUGUGCUUGACCUUGGGUUUUUCAACUCGCUCCAAUCCCUGACAGAUUGUCUGAGUCCUAAAACACUACAAGACCUUAUUAAGGGUGUUUUGGAGGAAUUUGAAGGCUAUGAUGUUUACAAGCUCAACAGAAUUUUCCUAACUCUACAGACGUGCAUGAUUGAGAUCCUAAACCAUGCAGGGGGCAAUGGGUAUAAAAUACCCCAUGUAAACAAGGAAAGGCUUGAGGGGAUUGGGCAACUACCUCCAAGAUUAUCAUGCCCUCUAGAGGUUUACGCAAAUGCAUUAUACAACUUAGAGCUAAUGGAGAGGGUUCAGUAA
rnacentral:rRNA from 1 species